rnacentral:tRNA from 1 species
GGGAAUAUAGCUCAAUUGGGUAGAGCGUUGCUCUUGCACAGCAAAGGUUAGCGGUUCAAACCCGCUUAUUUCCA